rnacentral:lncRNA from 14 species
UAUCAGAUGGUCACCGUGCUGUGGGAAAUAGCUGGUGAUCCCUCCCAUCCCCUUCUGUACCAGGUGAACAUCUCAGAAAGUUGCAGAAGCCCAUGGAGCUGUGUGAAGACUCUGCAUCCAUCCACCCUCCAGUUACCUUCAUGUUCCUUCCACGCAUCAUCACCACGUCUUUCAGAUGAGGGGGUAUCUUCUUCUGAGCUCUUCAGGGAAGAUGGCGUUGUUUAGUUCUCAAGCAAGUGGGAGUCAUGCACAGCUUGUCAGCAGACAGUGUCCACACAGCUUCACGCCUCUGGAACCUGACUCACCUUCAUUCCCAGAAUGGCACAGCCUUCCCCCUUUGCUGGUGUCGGUGCUGAGAGGUCUCUGGCAAGGGCUGAGAGGUGGGGAUGGAUCUGAAUGAGAGGCCUAGAAUUCCUGGUCCUGGUCUAAGAUAAGAGCCAACACUGGUGAUACAGGGUGGUUGAUGAAAGGAGCCUGGGUCCUCUGAGGUCCUGCUGAGCUACAGUAUGCAUGCAGCAUGUUUUGGAAUGUGGAUUUCCUAUGGGUUUCCUGGUCUGUGGGAUAAUAGAGUUGUUGGCUGAUGGAACGAGGGUUUCUUGCUUUUAUUUUUUAUGUGUACGAGUAUUUUGCCUGCAUGUGUAUCUGUGCCCUUGAUACUGGAGGGAGCCAGAAGACAGCAUCAGAGUCUCUGGACUGGAGUUACAGAUGGUUGUAAGUUACCUGGUAAGCGCUGGAAUCUGAAUCCCAAUCUUCG